ensembl:lncRNA
GUUCUUCCUCACUUAAUAUUAUAGAUUUUAUGUCAUUUAUAGCAGUUUAAAUAUAGUACAGAAACACGUUGUUGCUAUAAUACAUUACUUUUAUCUUUUAUUUCUCAGCGUGCGUUCCAAAAAUGCCCCUAUCUCCUAUUCCUAACCAGUGAUGGGAAUAAUGGCGUUACAAGUAGCGUUGUUAUUAACAGCAUGAUUGCUGCUGUUUGACUGAGGAAGAAUAAAUGAGUCGUGGUAAGCCAAUCCUAUGACCACUUUAAAAUGACAAAGCAACAAGGUGAUAUAUACCAAGUUUUAAAUUGUGUUGAUGGGCCACGUAAAACCAGAGUCAUGAUAAACAGUAAAAAUAUAACGUUUUCUACUCGGAUUUUAUGUUUUUUGUCCGAUUUUAGAUCAAAUGUGUUAAUACAGUAUGUCAAAAUAAAAACAUAACCGUAAAUUCAGACACGUGAGGUUGUGCUGAAAAGAAUGAGACCAAGCAAGGCAAGUAAAUAGUUUUUAAAGGUGAAAUGUAGAGGUCAAAUCAAAAGUAGUUAAAAAUGGCCAAUUAUACCCUGGGCCCCAGAGGGUUAAAGAUUUUUUUUUUAAGUAACGCAAUAGUUACUUUUCAAGUAAUUAAUUACUUUUAGUAUCUUGUAACUCACUAACUCAGUUACUUUUUUGUAGAAGUAACUAGUACCUAUAAUUAAUUACCUUUUCAAAGUAACUUGUCCAACACUGUUCCUAACCUCUUUUUAUUGAUCUCAAUACAAGCACCAUAGAGGUCAAGGAAAAGUGCAUACGAGAAUUGCUAAGGACUCAGGAAAAGAGAAGAGUUGUGCGUUGAGGUCAGGUUGCAGCAACUCCACUGUCUGCACGACCCGUCAUAGAUGAAUCCUCUCACCGUCCUUCUCAUUUUGUCUCUUAAUUCGGCAUCUACAGGCUUAAAAGAGAUAGAUGUGCAGGCAGACAGGAACGCCCAGCUGGAGUGUCAGGGUCCUAAAAAAGCCAAACUUGUCCUGUUAGAGUGGAAAAGACUUGAUCUGUUGUCGGAUGGAUACGUCUUCUUCUACCGAGAUGGUCAUCUUCAUAAAACCUUCCAGCAUCCAACUUUUAGAGAUCGAGUGGAACUGAGAGAUCCGCAGAUGAAAAAUGGGAACAUGUCCAUCAUUUUGUCCAACACCACAAUUAAAGACACUGGAACGUAUGAGUGUCGUAUCAUCGCACAAAACACAAGAGACAGUAGCAGCUCUGCCUUUGAGAUCAAGCAUGAAAUCAAGCUGACAGUUGUUCCUCCAGGUCGGGCACAAGAGGUCACCGUACUUAGAGAUGAGGAGAAUGGAGGUAUGGACGUUGGGAACAAGGAUGAAAGAGAUGGAGGAUUUAUUGGACUAACAGGUGGUCUGUUAGCUUUGGUGGUGAUUCUUGUUGUUUUGUUUUCUUACAAUGUGUUCUUUUCCUCCUGUUGGAAAAGAAAGUUCAUAAAGCACAACAGAUGUGUUUUUGGGAAGAUAUGACAAAACGGUCGCAAAAGUGACAAACUAACAGCAAUUGGUUAAUUGCCAACAUGCAUUUAAAAUAUUAUAUGAAUCAUGUCAUUAAAACACACAUUGCGUGCAUCUUCUGUUUUCUUCUAAGCAUGUGCAGUCGUUUGCAUUUUUUGUUCCAUCACAGUAUUGUUACCCCAACACAAGCCCGUGGGGAGUAGGGUUGCUGAGGUUUGCUGCUCCAACCCUUGUCGCAAAAACAAAUGUCUUCAGAAAUGUUUUAUUUAGGAAGUAGAAUUAAUUAAUGAAACAAGUAAAAAAGGUUUUUCUCCCCCUGUAAAGCAUUAUAGUCAAAUAACAUGCAUACUAGAUACCAGUACAAGUGGUGUAAUUUACAAAAAGAGCUAACAGACAACAGCUGUCACCAGCUAAAUGCUCUCCCUAACAUUUUGAACACUUUGGACAUCACUGCUCCUCCUGAGGAAAUUUAUCACCAAAACUUAAAGUCACAUUUAGAGUAUUAAUAUCACACACUCAGACAAAGGUUACAUUUUAGCUUAUUAUGAGAUGUCAUCACAAAGUUUAACAUUAUACUUAAGCAAUAAUUUCACCUUCCCACUUUUGUUUCCAAAGGGUUCUUGACUAUGUGUGUAAAUUUGACUUUUGGCUGAGUGAAAUAUCCAUAUAUGACUUGGUUCUGUUACAUUUUGGCUCUUUAUGUGAGCACCGGGAUCUGUAACUGGGGCUACACUGACUAGAGUAGUACACCAAUCCAGUGUUGAGUAGCACAGAGCUGUUGCCUUAAAUAGUGGCAGGAAAAUGCAGGAACACGGGUUACUUGCAGGUGCGUAGGUCAAAUGCGGGGACCUCUAAUAAGUUCUACCCAGUUGGAGAGGAGUGGAAGAGAGAGAGAGAGAGAGAGAGCAACAUAACAAAAACCCAGCUGACAUCAAGACAUCUGCCCGUUCAUCACUGGGAUGAGAAAGUGUUGCAGCUCUCAGUCUGACAAAACCUGCAAAUAUACACAUUGUUCAAAUGACUUGAUAUCUUCCACAAAAGAUAUGUUUGACAUGGACCAACAACAGUUAAAAUACUGGAAAUCACUUUUUGGCAAUUUGAUAAAUAAAUGAAUUUUUGGGAAAACUGUGAACUAUGAGAUUUAUUUUAACACAGUUACCUGCUUUUUUAAAAUAAUUUUAUUACUGGUCCUGGUGGCAAAAAUAAACUUCAUAAACUUACCUUUCUAAAUGCUGUAACACUUUCAUUUGUGG